GACCAAUGUUCCUUCGAUCUUUGAAGCUGCUAUCCUUUGGAUGAGUUCCUUUAUUUUUAUCUUCUUUGAUGCCUUUGGGGAUUUGAUUGUGAUAUAAAGUGUUCUUGUCCCUGGGACUUCCUCAGUCUGUAGUCACAGUUGGGAGACAGGCUGUAUUCUUGCUGGAUUAGACCUAAUCUGCUGUCUCAGUGCUUUCUGGGGAAACACUUGGUUUUACCUGUCCACAGAGUUCAGGCAGAAGUGGAACCACUGGGCUGGAAACUAGUGUGUGUGGACCUUCUGGCUAUGAGAGGCAGGUGUAGGUGGAUGGUGUUGCCUGCCCUGCCAUCUGGGUGUCUCCACAGUAACAGCAGGUGGUGCCCCUUAGAAAAUUCAGGCAGAAGUGAGACUCCUGGGCUGGAAGCUCUAGCAAGUGAGGCUCGCCUGGCGAGCGGUGGUGGAGGUUGGUGGGAUCACCUGCUCUGCUGUCCAGGUGCUUCCCAGGAUAACAGGAGUCGAAGCUUGAUGGGUGAUUUCAGAAAAAGUAGGACCACUGGGUCCAAAGCUGGAGCAAGAAUUGUUUGCUUGGCUACCAGUGGUGGUGGGUGGUGUCACUUUCCCUGUUAUCUGAGUGCUUCCA
rnacentral:lncRNA from 1 species